UUAAGGGCGCACGGUGGAUGCCUAGGAGCAAGAAGCCGAUGAAGGGCGUGGUAAGCUGCGAUAAGCCACGGUGAGCCGCAAACAGGUGUUGACCCGUGGAUCCCCGAAUGGGAGAACCCAACCACCGAAUGGGUGGUUACCCACCGCUGAACCCAUAGGCGGUGUGGAGGGAACCUGGGGAACUGAAACAUCUAAGUACCCAGAGGAAAAGAAACCGAACGGGAUUCCCUCAGUAGCGGCGAGCGAACGGGGAACAGCCUAAACCGUAGGUGCGUGCACCUGCGGGGUCGUGGGACUGACACCAAGGAUCGAAGUGCUUAGCAGAAGUUGCCUGGAAAGGCACGCCACAGCGGGUGAUAGCCCCGUAUGCGAAAAGUUCCUUCGACCAGUCAGCAUCCCGAGUAGCACGGGAUAAGAGGAGACCUGUGCGAAUCCGCCCGGACCACCGGGUAAGGCUAAAUACUUCUUGCUACCGAUAGUGCAACCAGUACCGUGAGGGAAAGGUGAAAAGCACCCCGGAAGGGGAGUGAAAAGAACCUGAAACCGUGCGCUUACAAGCAGUCGGAGGGCUAUGCCCCGCAAGGGGAACAGCCUAACGGCGUGCCUUUUGCAGAAUGAGCCGGCGAGUUAUGCUCAGUGGCAAGGUUAAGUGCCUCAGGCACGGAGCCGCAGCGAAAGCGAGUCCGAAGAGGGCGACUGAGUCGCUGGGUGUAGACCCGAAACCGCGCGAUCUAUCCCUGGUCAGGGUGAAGCCGUGGUAACACACGGUGGAGGCCCGAACUGGUGUCCGUUGAAAAGGGCUCGGAUGAACUGGGGAUAGUCUGGUGAAAUGCCAAUCGAGCGCGGAGAUAGCUGGUUCUCCCCGAAAUGCAUUGAGGUGCAGCCUCACGCGCUAUGCUAUGCAGGUAGAGCCACUGGAUGGGCUAGGGGCCCCACCAGGUUACUGAACCCAACCAAACUCCGAAUGGCAUAGCAAGAAGCGUGGGAGUGAGACAGCGACGGAUGAGCGCCGUUGUCGAAAGGGCAAUAGCCCAGAUCGCCCGCUAAGGUCCCUAAGCACGAGCUAAGUGUUAAAGGAUGUAGGGUCGCGUAAACAACCAGGAGGUUGGCUUAGAAGCAGCCAUCCUUUAAACAGUGCGUAACAGCUGACUGGUCGAAUGUGACCCUGCGCCGAUAAUGUAAGGGGGCUCAAGCUCGUCACCGAAGCGGCGGGUUCCGUAAGGAGCGGUAGGGGAGCGUUCGGUACGCAGUGAAGGUGGAGCGGAAGCACCGCUGGAGCGUACCGAAGUGAGAAUGCCGGCACGAGUAGUGAGAAGACAGGUGAGAAUCCUGUCCGCCGAAAACCUAAGGUUUCUUCAGGCAGGUUCGUCCGCUGAAGGUUAGGCGGUCCUAAGUCGAGGGCGAAAAGCCGUAGGCGAAGGGCAGUGGGUCAACAUUCCCACCCCAGAUGAUGGAGCCAAGCGGGGACGCUUCACGAGAGGUCGGGCGCGGAGCUGGAAGGCCGCGUUCCCGUAAGGGACGAAGGGAUCCUUCGGGUGAACGAAGCGACCUUGACUGGAGCCGAGAAAAGCCGUGUAGCGUUGAAGUCAUCUGACCGUACCGCAAACCGACACAGGUAGGUGAGGCGAGGAGCCUCAGGCGCGCGAGAGAAGUCCCGCUAAGGAACUCGGCAAAUUGACCCCGUAACUUCGGGAGAAGGGGUGCCUCCGCAAGGAGGUCGCAGCAAAGAGGGCCCGGCGACUGUUUACCAAAAACACAGCUCUCUGCUAAGGGGAAACCCGACGUAUAGGGGGCGACGCUUGGCCAAUGCCCGUAGGUUAAGGGGAGGGGUCAGCCGCAAGGUGCAGCCCUAAACUGAAGCCCGGGUGAAUGCCGGCCGUAACUCUAACGGUUCGUAACAGGGCCGUUGUAAAAUCUGGCUAUAUGCUGGAACAGCUCGUGGAUCCCACGCUACCGAGGAGGUGACAACGCGAUGGGUGGAGCCAAUCAGCAGGAAAGGCUCGCUAAAACCGAAGCCGCCAAGUGGUUCCUUGCAGGGUUCAUCGAAGGGGAAGCCUCCCUGCUCGUCGGUAUCAAGCACCACGAAACCAGCCGAUACGGCUACUAUGUAGACCCCGAAUUCCAUCUGGUACAACACCAGAGCGGACGGGAGGUGCUGGAACUGGCACAGCAGGUGUUUCAAGCAGGACGCAUCUACCCAAAGCCCGACAGUCCAAACUGCCUCGUCUACGCCAUCCACUGUAGGCGAACGCUUUGGGAAAAACUGGUGCCCUUCUUUGAAACCUAUGUUGUUCCUUUCAGCUCCCAAGCCAAGCGCGAAACUUUCUAUCGUUUCCGCGAAAUCUUGGAGCUGAUGAACCAAGGCAACCACAGGACCCCCGAAGGACUGGCACGCAUCGUCGAGAAGGCGUAUGCGAUGAACCCAGCCGCAAAGGGGAAGCAACGACUACGACCGUUGCACGAGGUAUUAGCGAGAAUCCUCAGAGACCACACGCCAGACACUCUGAAACACUCGGAGUGAAGAUAUGGUCCAGUCCCUAUGGCGACAUAGGGGGUAACUGCCUAUGGUAGAUUCGCUGCCCCCCUUGUGGGUAACCACAAGGUGAGCAUCCGGCUAUAUGCUGGAAAACCCGAGUAUCCAGCGGUACUUGCAAGGAUUGGCUUCGCACUCAGCGAAACAAUUACUUGUGAGUAACAAUCCGACUGGUGCGGACAACCAGCAGGAAAGACUAAUCCCUGUCGG
rnacentral:rRNA from 1 species